rnacentral:lncRNA from 1 species
CAUCUCUCUCAGACUGACCCCCUAAGAACCCUAGUUUGAGCCGCCACCAAAUUCCACCAGCGCCAGUGGCGGCGCCGAUGCAAAACCCCACCAAAAUAAUACCCCAAACUCUCCUCAAGACCCUCAUGCCAAAUAUCACUUCCAUUUCCUUCGAGCCAUUCCGUAUUCUCUCGAAUCUUAGAUCAAAGGUUUGGUUCAAAACCCUAGUUCUUCCAAAAUUCCCCAAAAUCACACCACACACUCCCCUCACUUCCCUCUUCUUAAAUCUGUAACUAGUUUCCCUCGAAUCUCACUAGGCCGUCUCAAAUUCCAAAUCUAGGGUUCUUAAGGUUCAAGUUUGUUUAGAAGUUUUCAGGUCGAUUGAUUUCUAUUUAAUGUUUUCUGUCUAUUUUUUACCAAAAUAGACAGAUAACAUUAAUUGAAAAUCAAUUUCGAUGGGGCAUUUUUGUAAAGCCAAAAAUCAGUAAGUUCUGUUCAUUGUCAUUCUUCUUCGUUUAAUUCUAUUUCUUCAUAAUUUUUAUUUCUAGGAUGAUUCUAUCUACAUAGCUUAUAAUGAUAAUUGAUUCAAUGAUUAUUUGUUUAGGAUUAGUAGUUGUAGUGAUUCUUUUCUCUCCCUUCUUUAAGUGUUUCAUCUUGGUUUAAGUGUUGUUAAAUGUUGGCUUGAAUUUACUUAGUCUAUUUUUUCACUUGUUUAAGCUUAGUUCUCAGUGUUUAAGCUUGUUAUGUCAAUUUUCUGAUUGGCUUGAUCUUGAAUGAUUUGUGUAAGUAAUUGAGCUUAGAUAGGAUUAGCACUUUAGUAAACAUUGUUCUACAUUGGUGAUUAAUGGGUUAGGAUACUUAAUGCAGCUUUAGGAGUUUGAUCAAACUUAGUUGAAUUUGUAAAUUCAUGUUAGUGUUUAAACCUAAUUGCUAACUUAGGUAAAGAGAUUGGGCCAAUUUGGGUAAAUUUUAGCCUAGAUAAAGGGUAGUUUGGACAUUUAGGAUUAUGUAACACAUGGUAGUUGAAACUAGAAUCUUCUAGGGCCUCUCAAAGUAUGACUUUAAUGUAAUUUUAGUAAUUGUAGUGUAUUAACUUGUGACGCAAGUCGAAAAAUAAGGGACUAAAUGAAAAUAAAUAGGGACUAAAAAGGAAAACAGAAAAUUUAAGUUCAGGUUGAAUUCCUGCCUAAAACAGUUUCAUCUUACCAUAAUUAGUAGUAACCUCAGUGAUUCAAUGAUAAAACGAUUAGUCUAUUUGUAUUACUAUGUCACUAUCCAAAUUCUAUACCCGGUCGUGAUGGCGCCUCUCGUGAAGACAAGGCCAACCAACAACUCAAAAUCCUUUUUGAAACAACUAUAAAACAUAAAUGAAUGGAAAUACUAAUUUAUGGCAUUUAACUAUGAAAUUUCAUUCUAACACAAUCCGACCGGGGUGUCACAAGUCACGAGCAACUAAUGAGUAGGGACACUACUACUGGACCAACAAUGUAUAUAUAUACAAGAUAAAACCGGAAUGCAAAGAUGGAGUGUGGUGCCGCGAACGCUAGCGAUCACCGUGCUCAACUAUCCCAAUAAGUCCUUCGGUCCUGCUGAUAACCCGCUACCGGGUGGACAAUACCUGCAACUGCAGGCAAGGUGCUGGGAGUAAAGUGAGUACUUCCAACUCAGUGGUAAUAAGAGAGAAUAAUAUCUGAGCGAUAAGAAAACACGUAUGAGCACCCCAAAUUGCUACAAAAGACAGAACAACCCCUUUUGAGAAAACCGAAAUACUGUGAGAAUCCCUUUAGAAAAUCCCAAGUUGACUUCAAAAAAUCUCUUUUGAAAAUAUAUUUUUCAACAAUUGCAAAGGUAAUUUCAACAAGCAAGGAAUAUUCUGAAACCUUCCCCCCGAGAUCAAUAUCACUCACAAUAUCCAACAUCGGCCUCUCGGGCUCAGCACUCCUUAACACAUAACACCGGGUAUCUAGUCAACAAGGCAAGUAACAGUAUGUAUGCCAAUGAUAUAUGAGUGCUAAAUGUCNNNNNNNNNNNNNNNNNNNNNNNNNNNNNNNNNNNNNNNNNNNNNNNNNNNNNNNNNNNNNNNGCCAAUGAUAUAUGAGUGCUAAAUGUCGUGCCACGUAGUACAAACAGGAGUAAAUGCAUGAAUGCAAUGCAAUGCACAUGAAUACGAUGCGGCGUGCAGCUCGAGCCAACCAUGCAUAUGAUUUAACGUCGACGGCGCUCACUGUCGGGGUUCAGACUCCGUAGGGGCUCCUUCAGCGCAAGCGCAAUAUCAUACAUGUCAAUAGUUACC